UACGAAGGGGGCUAGCGUUGUUCGGAAUUACUGGGCGUAAAGCGCACGUAGGCGGAUCGAUCAGUCAGGGGUGAAAUCCCAGGGCUCAACCCUGGAACUGCCUUUGAUACUGUCGAUCUGGAGUAUGGAAGAGGUAAGUGGAAUUCCGAGUGUAGAGGUGAAAUUCGUAGAUAUUCGGAGGAACACCAGUGGCGAAGGCGGCUCACUGGUCCAUUACUGACGCUGAGGUGCGAAAGCGUGGGGAGCAAACAGG
rnacentral:rRNA from 1 species